UUGUUUUGGCAUAUAUUUAUUCAUUGUAUUGUUGGUCUUAGUAAAUAUCUAUUAAUUAAAAUAAUUGUUUUGACAAAUAUUUAUUGAUUGUAUUGAUUAGUUCAAAUAAUUAAAUAGUUGUUUUGGCGUAUCUUAAUUCCAUUCCACUACUGUGUGUUUGUGAGACACAACAAAGAUUCUUUCUUUUAUUUUUCCUUCACAGUUUAAUAGUACCUAUCAGCUUUUUCCAGGUACUGCCUCUGCUCCCCAAACGCUUUACUUUUUAAUUAAUUAUUACUACUCCACAUCGUGGACCCCGCCUCAUGAAACAGACCGUUACAAACUUUUUCUUCCUUUUGUCCGUUUCAUGUUAUUUUGAAUUUCAAAUGUCCAAAUGCCAACUACACAACCACAAGCCCAUUAACCCUUCUUUUUCUUCUUAUCUCUCUCUCUAACACAAACUUCUCUCACUUUAUUAUCACACUUCAUUCAGUUCCAUCACACAAUCAGAAGAGUUAUCGCCACAGUCUCUCUAUACACUCAUGGGUGCCUCUCACAUUGCAUAAUAAAAUUUGUUUUUUUUUGUUGAGUUUGUUUGGUUUAUGUUUGAAGGGGAAGGUAGGAGGUAAGAGUAAGAAGUGGAUGUUAUGGAGAAGUUCAUAAGGAGAGAAUGGUUCAUGGUAAGGUUUUAAAGGAAACCACCAUAAAGCAGUUUCUGAAUGCUCUGAAUCUCCAACCGAAGCAGAAGCUUUUACCGCCACAAUAGCAACAGUCGUUAGAGCUCAACCUAAGGAUUUUAGACUGCUUUCCGCGCUUUCUUGGUAACCUUUUUCAAUCUUCAACUCAAUCUUUACUUUCUAAAUUUGUAUUCUUUUUCUGUCUUAUAUGUUGGUGUAGGUCAUCUAUGCAAAACAUUUUACAAUCCACCCAAAACCCUAAAAUCGUCUUCUCAACCUUGUCCUCCUCUCUUAUUCUGAAAGCUUGCGUUAUCAACAUUGUCCUCCUCUCUUAUUCUAAAAGCUUGCAGCAUCUUUUCUGUCUCUCAUCCAAAAAGCUACGCCCUUAUUCUGAAAAUCUCGCACUCACUCAACCUGUAAUUCAGAUUUCUGUGGCUAAUCUACGAUUUAAAUGGGUACUACGACGACCUUAUUUGGGAGUUGAGGCUACAAACUUUUACGCAGUUGAUAUAUUUCUCAUAGAGAAGAUUAUUCAAAAGAUUCUGAAUAUUUGCAAUGGGGUUUUUGUUGGGAAGGUAAUCCAUGGUUCUUCUGCUGAUUCUGCUGGGUAGCGUUUGAAUGAUGUAAUAGUUCACUGUAAUGGAAAAACAGUUCACAAUUUCUUCGAGUUUGUGGAGAUGGUGUGGGAUAAGAAAGUUGGAGAUAUAUUGGAUUUGUAUGUGGUCCGAGCGUAUGAAAAUGAUCCCAUCCAUAUACCCUAAACCCCAAUAAUAUAAGAAAUAUCAAUAGUUUAAUAUCGAUUGUGCAUAAGUGAAAGUCUUAAACCUUGCAUAAAAAGAAAGAAAAUUAAGGAUAUAUUAUUAGAAACCCUAGUAUGUGGAAAUUGGUACUAUUUGUUGUAGUUUUGUCCAACUUCCCUCUCUUCUUUCGCCCAGCUCUCACUCUACUUUUGCCCACUCCCAGCCCCAUCUCGUCCCUCUCGCCGCAAUGUUUUAGGUUUCUCUCUCACUUUCUCGUUGUUGUGUGUUUUACUCUGUUCCUUUUAUACCUUUACUUUACUUUCUCGUUGGUGCUAAUUGUAGAUGCAAGUCAAAUAAGAAUAAGAGACACGUGAGAAUUAUGUAGGUAGCAUACCUUCUCAACAAAUAGCCCGUUGCAGAUAUUAAGAAACUUUUGAAUAAUCUUCUCUUUGAGAGAUAUAUCAGUUGCAUAAAAGUUUGUAGCCACAACUCCUAGAGAAGGUCGCCGGAGUACCCUGUUGUGAAGAGUUAUUCAUUAGAUCACGAAUUAUUGGAUAUACCUUGGGCAAUUCAUGAGAUGAGAAUAAAUUGUUUAUUUAGAAUGUCAGCAAAAAUGCCCAAAUAUGUAACAGCAUUCAAAUAUAAGUGAACAUUAUGAAGAUUGAAACUUAAUCAUCAUGAAAAUUUCAACAUUAGAGAAACAAAGUUGCAUGACACCACAUGUUAAAAGUUGGUCAACAAUUGACUUGUAAGUUUACUUUCUUUUCAAGUAAGACUGAGUGUCUCAUGGCACUGCAGUUACACAAUUGAAUGGUGCGACUGAGUGUCUCUGAGCCUUCUCCAAGAAGGUCAAACCAAACUGAAACAGAG